UGGGGAAUCUUGCACAAUGGGCGGAAGCCUGAUGCAGCGACGCCGCGUGGGGGAUGACGGCCUUCGGGUUGUAAACUCCUUUCGCCAGGGACGAAGCCGUGAGGUGACGGUACCUGGAUAAGAAGCACCGGCUAACUACGUGCCAGCAGCCGCGGUAAUACGUAGGGUGCGAGCGUUGUCCGGAAUUACUGGGCGUAAAGAGCUCGUAGGUGGUUUGUCGCGUCGUCUGUGAAAUUCCGGGGCUUAACUCCGGGCGUGCAGGCGAUACGGGUAUAACUUGAGUGCUGUAGGGGAGACUGGAAUUCCUGGUGUAGCGGUGAAAUGCGCAGAUAUCAGGAGGAACACCGAUGGCGAAGGCAGGUCUCUGGGCAGUAACUGACGCUGAGGAGCGAAAGCAUGGGUAGCGAACAGG
rnacentral:rRNA from 1 species